AUUGAACGCUGGCGGCAUGCCUUACACAUGCAAGUCGAACGGUAACGGGCCUUCGGGUGCCGACGGGUGGCGAACGGGUGAGUAAUACAUCGGAACGUGCCCUUGAGUGGGGGAUAACUAUCCGAAAGGAUAGCUAAUACCGCAUAUUCUGUGCGCAGGAAAGCCGGGGACCUUCGGGCCUGGUGCUCUUGGAGCGGCCGAUGUCAGAUUAGCUAGUUGGUGGGGUAAAGGCCCACCAAGGCGACGAUCUGUAGCGGGUCUGAGAGGAUGAGCCGCCACACUGGGACUGAGACACGGCCCAGACUCCUACGGGAGGCAGCAGUGGGGAAUUUUGGACAAUGGGGGCAACCCUGAUCCAGCCAUGCCGCGUGAGUGAAGAAGGCCUUCGGGUUGUAAAGCUCUUUCAGCCGGGAAGAAAACGUGUGGGCUAAUAUCCUGCAUGGAUGACGGUACCGGACCAAGAAGCACCGGCUAACUACGUGCCAGCAGCCGCCGUAAGAC
rnacentral:rRNA from 1 species